rnacentral:misc_RNA from 1 species
GAAAAUGUUAAUCAAGCAAAUCAAGUAGAACAAAAUGGCGUCAGAUUUUGCAGGAAUCAAAACUUCGCGGGUCAGUCCGGCUUUCUUGCAUGGAAAUUCGACGUCGCACACAUGGCCAUUUUCAGCCAUUGCAGAGUUGAUCGACAAUGCCUAUGAUCCAGAUGUAAGUGCAUCUGAGUUAUGGAUAGAUAAAAGAAACAUAAGUAAGGUGGACUGUUUGACGUUUGUUGACAAUGGAAAUGGAAUGAACCAAGAGAAACUUUACAAAAUGUUAAGUUUUGGUUACUGUGAAAAAGUUACAGUUGGAAAUGUAAAACCCAUUGGUUAUUAUGGAAAUGGAUUUAAGUCAGGAAGUAUGCGACUUGGCUCGGAUGCAAUGGUUUUUACACGUUGUUUGACAUCAACAAGUGUGGGAUUUCUCUCGCAGACUUACCUGAAAGCUUCUAAUGCUGAGGCUGUAGUGGUACCUAUUGUAACAUGGGAUAUAACUCCAGCUGGCUUGACAAGGAAGAACAACUCAGAGAGUUUGACCAAUCUAAAGGCCAUCCUUAAAUACUCUCCUUUCAAAACAGAAAAAGAUCUGAUGGCUGAGUUAAAGACGUUAGAGAAAAUGAGGACUGGAACCAACAUAAUCGUCUUUAAUUUGAAACAAGACAAUACAGAAAAUCUAGAGCUGGAUUUUGUCUCAGAUCCCCAUGAUAUAAGAAACCCAGAAACACCAGUCAUUGAUUUAACAUCUAUAAACAGACCUAUAUAUACAGCUUCACCAGAAUACAGAAGAUCCCUAAGAGAAUACUGUUCUAUCCUGUAUUUGAAACCAAGAAUGAAAAUUGUUAUACGAGGACAGAAAGUGAAGACAAAGUUGAUAUCUAAAUCGCUCUCACAAACUGAAGUGGAUGUGUAUAAACCGACAUGGCUUAACAAACCAGUGAAGCUGAUAUUUGGAUUUACUAAUGACAAGGAACCAGAUAGUUAUGGUCUUAUGAUGUACCAUAAAAACAGACUGAUUAGAGCUUAUGAGAAAAUCGGCUGUCAAAAACAGGCAAAUGACCAUGGCGUUGGUGUGAUAGGGGUUGUAGAAGCAAACUUUCUGGACCCGAUACAUAACAAACAGGAAUUCAACAAAACAGAUAAAUACUUAGCAUUUAUGCAGAAUGCAGCAAACAAAUUAAAUGAUUACUUCUACGAGAAGACACAAUGUGAAAAUCCAAAUGCCAAAUCAAUACCUCAUACAUCGUCUCAGCUGCCUGAUUGGACAUGGGCUCAGUGUGAUAACUGCCUCAGUUGGAGACGUCUACCUACAGGGUAUAGUGAAAAACUGCCAGAUAAAUGGUACUGCUACCUCAAUCCUGAUGCACAUUUCAAUCGUUGCGACAUUCCAGAAGAACCAGAAGAUGAUGACGAGGCACUGCAAACAACAUACCGUAAAACUUACAAGAAAACUCAGGCUGAGAAAAACAGACAAGCUCGUCUUAUAGAGGAAAGGAAGUUGAAAGAAAAAGAAGAAAAUCUGAAAAGGAAAGAAGAGAUGUUGCAAAAGAAAAUGAAUGAAAUAACAAGAAAACAAACAGAACUUGAGGAGGUAUCGUCUAGUCAGGACAGAGUAGACAGUAAGCCAACAGUAGCUGAUCUAGAGCGAGCAAAGAAAUCACUAAAGAUAUACCAGGAGAAGAUGGCCAUGCAGGAGAAGACGAUAAAACAACUGGAGAUACAAAAGCAGCAGAUUGAGCACAAAUCAACAGCAAUGUUACGCAUGGCAGAAUCCCUUAGGUUAACCAAUGUGGCAAGUAAGAAUUUAGAAGAGAAAGUGAAAGACCUGACAGGUACCAGUAAUUCUACAGUGUCUUCAAGCAGUCACACACUACGUCCACCCCACAAACGAAAGAGCACCAGUAAGGAUGGAAGCAAUGAAAAAGUUGCAAAAAUCAAAACCGAAGAUGGUGGUUUUAUAACAGUGAAUGCUCCUGACGCUGGAGUUGUUGACCUUACACUAGACGAAGAGGAGAUUAGUACCCAAAUGGAGGUUGAUAGUAGUGUUCUGUCUGACAGUCCUGUAAAAUCUGACAAAGCCAAUAAAACUAAUGAUAAAAACACUGCAAAGUCUACACCAAGCAAAGGUGGUAAAGAUUCAGCAAAAGAAAACUCUGAUUGUAGUAGUGUUACUGAUAAAACCGCAACAAAAAGUAAAAAUGAUACUCCUGCUAAAACCUCGGCUAAAUCUGACAGUAAUCCAGAAACUGAUAAAACAAAGAGUAAAGACAAAGCAUCAAAAAGUCAAGUUGAAAAAACAGGAGACAAAGAAACACUGAAUGACAAUAGUGAAAGUAAACCUGAUGAAAAGGCGACAGAAAAGAGUGAUAAAGAAGGCGAUGUUGGAGAUAAGAAAGAUAGUGAAAAUACGGAAGUAAAGGAGAAAGAGAAGGAAAAGCAAUCUGGAAGUACUGAUUAUAGUGAAAUACAGGAGGAUGUUAAACCAGAUAAAGAAGAGUUAGAUAAAAACUUAAAUGAUACUAAAACUGAAGAUAAAAAGUUAGAUGAUACUAAACUUGAGGAUAAAAAGUUAGAUGAUAAUAAACUAGAGGAUAAAAAGCUAACUGAUCCUAAAACUGAGGAUAAGAAAGUAAAUGACAAUAGUGAAGAGAAGAAAGUUUUUGUGGAGAAAGGAGCCCAAACAGUUCCAACGGUGGUUAAAUUCGCAAGUCCAGAAGAGCUUGAUCUUCUAAAAUUGUGUCCAUCUGAACAGAGACAAGUUUUACUACAGAAAGCUAGAGAAUUAGAUGAGACUAAAAAAGAGUUUAGUGAAACUCAGAAAACUCUAAAAAGUUUACAGGAUAAUAUUUGGCAGCUUUUGAAGAUAAUUGUGCCAGACUUUGAUUAUGGGAACCCUGAAAAUAUUGAAAAAAUUAUUUUGGAUUUCAUACGUGUGAAUGGUGAACAAAAUGACAGUCCAUCAACCUCAGGAAAUUGAAAGUACAUGUUUUUGUUACUUUUGGGGACUAAGUAUUUGCACCUUGUCCUUUUUGUUAGUUUGUUUCAUUUCUAAUCCGGUCCAUAUCUUUGUCAUCUAUCAAGGGAAUUUUACAUUAUUUGGCAGAAACAUUGCCCAUAAUGUAAAUGAAACGAUGUGUCAUGCUCAAAACCCAAACUCUAAGCUCAAAAAUCAAAAUUGGAGGUAAACCAGGUCCAGUAAAUAACUCUGCCAUCCAUUUAGGAAUUCUGAUUUUAUUUGGCACCUGUGUUCCCCAUUACAAGAUUGUAGGUAACACACAAAAUCCUGACCCCUAGUUCAAAGGUCAAGAUCAGUAUCACAUAGACAAAAAUUUUAGGUCAUAAUUUUCUAGUCUUGACUCACUUCUUUUACCAUAGAUGUAUAUUCUAAUAACUUGAUACAAACAUUCAGCAGGACAAGACAAUUUGUUGUGUAACAGACCUUGACCCUGAACUCAAAGGUCAGACUUAGAGAUCAAAGAUUUUAGCUUAGAGAUUACUUCUUUAACUGUAAUUGACAUUUGCAAUCAAACAUUUUAUACAAGAAAAAAUAUUUUAUACCUAAUGUACUUUAUAAAAUGAUAGAAACAAAAUUCAUUGAAAUGAAUAAAAGGUGUGAGUAUUUAGCAACUAUGCUGACUUUUUGUAGUAGAUUCAUAAAUAUCCAGGUAAAACUUCAGACUAAAGAGAGUAUAUAUACAUAAUAGACAUUUGUUCAAUCCUGCAUUCGCCUAAACAGUAGUGCACUUUAUAUUGUUUUGUGAUACUUUCUUUACUUGUUUUAACCCUUACCCUGCUAAAUUGCUAUAAUGAACUUGUCCAUCUUGUAAUUUGGACAGUACCAUUAACUGUCAAGAGGGGUGCUUAC